rnacentral:rRNA from 1 species
UGCCUAAUACAUGCAAGUCGAACGAAGUCGUAGGGUAACUUGCGACUUAGUGGCGGAAGGGUUAGUAAUACAUGAGUAACUUACCUCUUACCUGGGGAUAACGGUUGGAAACGGCCGCUAAUACCGAAUGAGGAGUUUGAGGGGAAACCAUCGAACAUUAAAGUAGGGGACCGUGAAAACGGCCUGGCGGUAGAUGAAGGGUCCAUGGGAUAUCAGCUUGUUGGUGAGGUAAAAGCUCACCAAGGCUAAGACGUCUAGGCGGACUGAGAGGUUGACCGCCAACACUGGGACUGAGACACUGCCCAGACUCCUACGGGAGGCUGCAGUCGAGAAUCAUUCGCAAUGGGCGAAAGCCUGACGAAGCGACGCCGUGUGAGCGAUGAAGGCCUUAGGGUUGUAAAGCUCUUUCGCCUGGGAAUAAGGGAUAUCGUUUAAUACACGGUAGACUUGAGGGUACCAGGUAAAGAAGCACCGGCUAACUCCGUGCCAGCAGCUGCGGUAAUACGGAAGGUGCAAGCGUUAACCGGAUUUACUGGGCGUAAAGAGCGCGUAGGCGGAAGUGCAAGUCAGGUGUGAAAUUCCGAAACUCAAUUUCGGAGCUGCAUUUGAAACUGCAAGUCUAGAGGAUUGACGGAGAAAGCGGAAUUCCAAGUGUAGCGGUGAAAUGCGUAGAUAUUUGGAAGAACACCUGUGGCGAAAGCGGCUUUCUAGUUUACUCCUGACGCUGAGGCACGAAAGCAAGGGGAGCGAACAGGAUUAGAUACCCUGGUAGUCCUUGCCGUAAACGAUGCAUACUUGAUGUAGACGGACUCAACCCCGACUGUGCCGUAGCUAACGUGUUAAGUAUACCGCCUGGGGAGUACGCUCGCAAGGGUAAAACUCAAAAGAAUUGACGGGGACCCGCACAAGCAGUGGAGCAUGUGGUUUAAUUCGAUGCAACGCGAAGAACCUUACCUACCCUCGAAAUGCAAAUGACGUUAACAGAAAUGUUAACUUUCGUAAGAGCAUGUACACAGGUGCUGCAUGGCUGUCGUCAGCUCGUGCCGUGAGGUGUUGGGUUAAGUCCCGCAACGAGCGCAACCCUUGUCAUUAGUUACCAGCAUUUAGGAUGGGGACUCUAAUGAGACUGCCUAGGUUAACUAGGAGGAAGGUGAGGAUGAUGUCAAGUCCGCAUGGCCUUUAUACCUGGGGCUACACACGUGCUACAAUGGUCAGUACAGAAGGCAGCAAAGCCGAAAGGUGGAGCAAAUCCCUAAAACUGAUCUCAGUUCGAAUUGAAGUCUGCAACUCGACUUCAUGAAGUUGGAAUUGCUAGUAAUGACGUGUCAGCAACAACGUCGUGAAUACGUUCCCGGGCCUUGCACACACCGCCCGUCACA